AACGAACGCUGGCGGCGCGCCUAAUACAUGCAAGUCGAGCGAGAAGACGUAGCAAUACGUUUGUAAAGCGGGGAACGGGUGAGGAACACAUGGGUAACCUACCCUCGAGUGGGGAAUAACUAGCCGAAAGGUUAGCUAAUACCGCGUACGCUCCUUGGACUUCGGUUCAGGGAGGAAAGCGAUACCGUGGGUAUCGCGCUCUUGGAUGGGCUCAUGUCCUAUCAGCUUGUUGGUGAGGUAACGGCUCACCAAGGCUUCGACGGGUAGCUGGUCUGAGAGGACGAUCAGCCACACUGGCACUGCGACACGGGCCAGACUCCUACGGGAGGCAGCAGUAAGGAAUAUUGCGCAAUGGGCGAAAGCCUGACGCAGCGACGCCGCGUGGGGGAUGAAGGUCUUCGGAUUGUAAACCCCUUUCGGGAGGGAAGAUGGAGCGAGCAAUCGUUCGGACGGUACCUCCAGAAGCAGCCACGGCUAACUUCGUGCCAGCAGCCGCGGUAAAAC
rnacentral:rRNA from 1 species